GGGACCUUGGCGCAGUUGGCUAGCGCGCAAGUCUCAUAAAUCAACGUAUUUGUGAUCUGGUGAUACAUCAGAGCUAUCUUGAGGUCGUGAGUUCGAGCCUCACAGGUCCCA